AUGAAGGUGAUGGAAACUGAAGUCAUUUGUUUAUCCAUGGAACAGGUACAACACUACUCCAACAAUAUACCUCACUUUUGAGUUGGAAGGACCACCUGUAGGGAUGAAAGGGCAGUUCAGUCUCCAUGUCCAUUGAAUUCUUGGCCUCU
ensembl:misc_RNA